rnacentral:lncRNA from 11 species
UUUACAUCCAUUCUCUCCUGCUUCAUGGCCAAUAGCAGGUAACUAUAGUCCAAACUAUUCAAUAGAACCCAAUAUUGGAAAGCUUGACGAAGAUAGGUAAUUCUUUUCUUUUGUUUCAAAUCAGUUUUACAACAAGAAGUAAUACACUGGCAUGUGUAUCAUUGUGACCUCGAAGCAGAACAAACUCAAUCUACCCUUUUCUUUCUAUACUGUCUGCAAACUACUGCUCUCCUGUGUUACUGUGAUUCUGGAAAGCACUGCAGGAAGCUCAAGCAUGAUGAGAUGUUUCUUUUCCACAUGGAAGGAAAAUGCUGACUGAUUAGCAUAAGAGGAAAAUAUAUCACCUGCGAAUUUAUGACAGGUUUUCCUCCUUCUGAUAUCGAACAAAACAUACCACCCCCCUCUUUUAUUCGCCCACUGUGCGGGACCUAUAAGGCAAGUCAGCCUCUCCUCCUUUCUUAUGAAUUAAUAAAAUAAAGAUUAUUCAAGGCCAUUUACCUUUAAAUUUCUCUUUAUUUUCUCAACCAUUAUGCAUGAUACUCUAUUAUAACUCCUUUCUUCAUAUCCCCAUCUGCACAGGGAUGCCUCCUAUAAUAUAUGAAAUAAUGCAUGAGCCCUAUGUUCUGUUCCUUUUUCCUUUUUAUAAUGUAUGUUUUUAUAUAAUAAUAAUACUCUGAAAUCAAGACACAGAUGAACUUUUGAUAACCUCAACCCAGGAAUCUCCUCAGUCUGGAGCUGUUUUCCCAAUAUCUCUCCAGGAAACCAAAAACCUUCCUGCUUCACAGCGGGGAGCCCAAAACUCUCCUUGGGAUAGCACCAACAUUAGAAGGACAAUAGACUGAGCCAGGACCCUGAUGAUUCCACCUGGACUGGCUAUUGCCCCCACUUUGGGAAGACAUUUGGCAAGACCCUUUGUUCCUAGUUCCUGGAUUUGAUACUGUCAUAAUCCUCUCAUUCAAAUUUCCAAAACUUCAUUGUUUGGGCUAAAAACAUCAACAUAAUCUGCAAGGUGGAUGCAGUUCCCCACCACCUGCCCUCCCUCUCCUUCAGAUUGGGAGCCUCAGGGAGGCCUGGCUCCAGCUGGGGAGGGAACUUUAUGACAUCCACAGCUCCAGGAUGAAUCAGCACAACCGCUGACGGGGC